rnacentral:rRNA from 1 species
GACGAACGUUGGCGGCAUGGAUUAGGCAUGCAAGUCGAGCGAGAAGUGUAGCAAUACACGGAAAGCGGCGGAAGGGAGAGUAAUACGUGGGAAUCUGCCCUUAGACCUGGGAUAGCAGCGGGAAACUGCUGGUAAUACCAGAUAAUGUCUAUGGACCAAAGGUGUGAUUCCGUCUAGGGAUGAGCCCACGUCCUAUUAGCUAGUUGGUAGGGUAAUGGCCUACCAAGGCGAUGAUGGGUAGCGGGUGUGAGGGCAUGACCCGCCUCACUGGGACGGGGACACUGCCCAGACACCUACGGGUGGCUGCAGUCGAGAAUCUUCGGCAAUGGGCGCAAGCCUGACCGGGCGAUGCCGCGUGCGGGAUGAAGGCCUUCGGGUUGUAAACCGCUGUCGAGGGGGAGCAACUUCCAUAGAGUUAUCUUUAUGGAUUGAGUGAUCCCUGGAGGAAGGACGGGCUAAGUUCGUGCCAGCCGCCGCCGUAAAAC